rnacentral:lncRNA from 13 species
GGGGUGAAGGCGGCGGCGGCGCCGGGGCGGGCAGCUCCCCCUCUCGGGCCGGCGGUGCCUCCCUCGGGUCCCGCCCCCGCUGCUGCCGCGCUCCGGGAGGUGCAGGCCCGCUGGACGCCGCAGUCACCGAGCUGCCUUCGCGGGCGUGCAGGGGCCCGGAGGGAACGCCCCUUCCUGGCUGUCCCUGUGGCUUCGCUGAGGGACUUAAGCCGCCCCCGAGGCUGCGGCCAGACUCCGGGCAUCUGUCCGGCCGAAACGCCGGGGCGCCGGGGCCUGACUCCUCACACCGAGGUUUCCCGGGCACCGCGGCCCUUCCUCGGACGCCGACGGCGAAGGACCGGGACAGCCCAGGCAGGGGCGGCUCCUUCCGGCCACACCGACCUGCCCUUCGCAGGGCGUCCCGGGCGGGCGGAGGCAGAGAAAACCAGCUCCCAGGAACGCGAUCGCUCCCAGCGCCCGGGCCGGCCCAGAGCGAGGCCACCACGGGCGUACCGGGGCCGCCGCUCCCGAGACGGAAGUCCCGCCCCAGGCCGUGGAGGCCCCGCCCAUCGCUUCUUCCCAUCCCCCGCUUCCCCACGCUGUACUGACCGCAGGCCCUCGUCCCGCCCCGGGCCCCGCCCCUCCACGCCCAACCCCGCCCCGUCCCUUGGCCCCGCCCCCACGCCCCACGCCCCUCCCCUCCCGGCCCCACCCCUGUCUUGUCCCGCCCCCCGCCCCGCCCCCGCCUCGACCCCUGGGCGGGCGGCGGCUGCUGAGGCGACCGUUGCGCGCGCGGGCGGUGGCGCGGGCCGGAGCGCCCGGAGCGGGAGCGAGCGGCGCGGCCCGGCUGAAGUGCAGUGGCUGGAGAGCAGUGGCUGGAGUGCAGUGGCUGGAGAGCAGUGGCUGGAGAGCAGUGGCUGGAGUGCAGUGGCUGGAGAGCAGUGGCUGGAGUGCAGUGGCUGGAGAGCAGUGGCUGGAGAGCAGUGGCUGGAGUGCAGUGGCUGGAGAGCAGUGGCUGGAGUGCAGUGGCUGGAGUGCAGUGGUGCAGUCAUACUCACCGCAGCCCCGAACUCCUGGGCUUAAGCAGUCCCUCUGCCUCAGCCUCCUGAGUAGCUGGGAAUACAGGCAUGCACCCCUACACCUGGCAAUUUUUACCUUUCAUUUCAUUUUUUUUCACAGUCUCGUCACAUUGCCCCUUUGUUGUUUCUAAGAAGUCAGUCAUUAUUGUAUCUGUGUGGCUCCUUUGUGUUAUGUGGCGAUGUGCUUUCUAGCUCCUCUCGGGACUUUUGGCUUUUAGCAGUUUGACUGUGGUGUUCUUAGGAGGGUUUGUUUUGUGUUUGUCCUGCUCAGGGUUUGUUGAAUUUCUUGGAUAUGUAAUUUUUCACCAUCUUCAAUUUGCUAUUAUGUUUGUUUAGUGAAUUUUAAAAUUUCAGUUAUAGUAGUUUUUAUUUCUAGAAUUUUCACUUAUUUUUUACAGUUUUCAUUUCUCCGCUAUGCCAUUUGUUAAUUAUGAUCAUAUUGUCAUUAAAUCUUCAGACACACAGUAGCAGCUUUAAAGUUCUUCCCUGCUGCGUUAUCUCAGGAUCAAUUUCUGUUGGCUUCUUUCGACUGUGGGUCACAUCUUCCUGUUUCUUAGUCCUGUUUGCUGGUGUGCUGGACAUUGUAGAUGAUAAUUGCAGUGACUUUUUUUUUUUUCUGAAGAGUCUUGAUUUUUUUUCUGGAAGUUAAUUUGUCUGGACUCAAGUGAACAUCUCUGCUGCAGUCUCUACUUGGUGCUGUUGACCUUCCGGCUGCCUCCUUCUGCUGGGCUCUGGGGUCCCUCUGUGCGUGGAUGGCUCAGCACUGGCCAGGAACCUAGGCAGAAUUUACUAACCGAUUUCAGGGAUGCCUCUUCCCCAGUGACCUCCUUUCUGAGAUAUACCCCUCACUGUUCAGCCACCCUGCCCUCGCCAAGCCCUAUCUUGGACUCUGCAAGCUGGGAGGAUCACAGCUUCUACCUCGCUCUUGCCAUUUUUAGAAAUGCAUGUCUUAGUUGGUACAGCUCCCUCCUUUCAGGGGACAACUCCCCUCCAUUUUCUGUCUG